rnacentral:rRNA from 1 species
AAUUUUACAACCUCUAUCCGCCCGGGGACUACAAGCAUCAGCUUGAAACCCAAAGGACUUGGCGGUGCUUUAGAUCCACCUAGAGGAGCCUGUUCUAGAACCGAUAACCCCCGUUCAACCUCACCCCUCUUUGUUAAUACCGCCUAUAUACCACCGUCGUCAGCUUACCCUGUGAGGGAUCAAUAGUAAGCUUAACUGGUACAACCCUAAACGUCAGGUCGAGGUGUAGCGUAUGGAGGGGGAAGAAAUGGGCUACAUUCGCUACAACAGCGAACACGAAUGAUGUCCUGAAACGUACAUCUGAAGGAGGAUUUAGCAGUAAGUAGAAAAUAGAGUGUUCUACUGAAAUUGGCCCUGAAGCGCGCACACAUCGCCCGUCACUCUCCCCAAGCCUAAUAAUACAAUUAACUAAAAACUAAUAAUUGCAAAGGGGAGGCAAGUCGUAACAUAGUAAGUGUACCGGAAGUGCACUUGGAAAAG